AGAAGACCUCUAGUUUGUCCUGCAACUUCAGUCAAUAUCCCACUUAAAUCAUCCCAGGUAAUAGAGAAGAGGAAACCUAAUCAAUGGCAGUGGAAUAAUAUGGAAGAAGAUGGAAAAAACUUGUUUAAUGGGUUGAAAGAGUGGAGCCUUCUAUAAGACAUGGAUAGAUGCAAACAUGUCGGGCGGUUGCGGCUCGCCCAGGACCACUCCAUCCUGAACCCGCAGAAGUGGUGCUGCAGGGAGUGCGCCACCACCGAGUCCGUGUGGGCUUGUCUCAAGUGCUCCCACGUGGCCUGCGGCCGCUACAUCGAGGAUCACGCCCUGAAACACUUCGAGGAGACUGGGCACCCGCUGGCCAUGGAGGUCCGGGACCUGUACGUGUUCUGUUACCUGUGCAAGGACUACGUGCUCAACGAUAACCCGGAGGGGGACCUGAAGCUGCUCAGGAGCUCCCUCCUGGCGGUCAGGGGCCAGAAGCAGGACCCGCCGCUGAGGCGCGGGCGGACGCUGCGGUCCAUGGCCUCGGGCGAGGACGCCGUCCUGCCGCAGCGCGCUCCUCAGGGACAGCCGCAGAUGCUCACGGCUCUGUGGUACCGGCGCCAGCGCCUGCUGGCCAAGACGCUGCGGCUGUGGUUCGAGAAGAGCUCCCGCGGCCAGGCGAAGCUGGAGCAGCGGCGGCGGGAGGAGGCGCUGGAGCGGAAGAAGGAGGCGGCGCGGCAGCGGCGGCGCGAGGUGAAGCGGCGGCUGCUGGAGGAGCUGGCCAGCGCCCCUCCGCGCAAAAGCGCGCGCCUGCUGCUGCACGCGCCCCGCGCCGCCGCCCCGCGCCCCGCCGCCCCGCGCGCGCCCGCCGGGGGCCGCCCGCCGCCGCGCCGCGCUCCCGCCAUGGCGCCGGGCGUCACGGGCCUGCGCAACCUGGGCAACACCUGCUACAUGAACUCCAUCCUGCAGGUGCUCAGCCACCUCCAGAAGUUCCGCGAGUGUUUUCUGUACCUCGACCCUUCCCAGACCCAGCAGCUGUUCCCCAAGGCCCCCAACGGGAAGGCCCCGCUCUCGGGCAGGCCGGCCGCCUCGGCCGCGGAGCUGUCGGCCAGGAGCGGCGGGGCCGAGGCGUGCGAGCGCGAGGGCCUCUGCUUCAACGGCGGGGCCUCCAUCAGCAGGAGCCUAGAACUCAUACAGAACAAGGAGCCGAGCUCGAAGCACAUUUCCCUCUGUCACGAACUGCACACCCUCUUCCGAGUCAUGUGGUCCGGGAAGUGGGCCCUGGUGUCCCCCUUCGCCAUGCUUCACUCCGUGUGGAGCCUGAUCCCCGCCUUCCGUGGCUACGACCAGCAGGACGCGCAGGAAUUCCUCUGCGAGCUGUUGCACAAAGUGCAGCAAGAGCUCGAGUCUGAGGGCACCACGCGCCGGAUCCUCAUCCCCUUCUCCCAGAGGAAGCUCACCAAACAGGUCUUAAAGGUAGUGAACACCAUAUUCCACGGGCAGCUACUCAGUCAGGUCACAUGUAUAUCAUGCAAUUACAAAUCCAAUACCAUUGAGCCCUUUUGGGAUCUGUCCCUGGAAUUCCCUGAACGGUAUCACUGCAUAGAAAAGGGGUUUGUCCCUUUGAAUCAGACAGAGUGCCUGCUCACUGAGAUGCUGGCUAAGUUCACAGAGACAGAGGCUCUGGAAGGGAGAAUCUACGCUUGUGACCAGUGUAACAGCAAACGACGAAAAUCCAAUCCCAAACCCCUUGUUCUGAGUGAAGCUAGAAAGCAGUUAAUGAUCUACAGACUACCUCAGGUCCUCCGGCUGCACCUUAAAAGAUUCAGGUGGUCUGGCCGUAAUCAUCGAGAGAAGAUUGGGGUCCAUGUCGUCUUUGACCAGGUAUUAACCAUGGAACCUUACUGCUGCAGGGACAUGCUCUCCUCUCUUGACAAAGAGACCUUUGCCUAUGAUCUCUCCGCAGUGGUCAUGCAUCACGGGAAAGGGUUUGGCUCAGGACACUACACAGCCUAUUGCUACAACACAGAGGGAGGUUUUUGGGUCCACUGCAAUGACUCAAAGCUGAAUGUAUGCAGUGUCGAGGAAGUGUGCAAAACUCAAGCCUACAUCCUUUUUUACACUCAAAGAACAGUUCAGGGCAAUGCAAGAAUUUCAGAAACCCAACUCCAAGCUCAGGUGCAGUCCAGCAACAACGAUGAGGGCAGACCACGGCCCUUCCACUGAAUGGGAGGCAUGUUUCAAGGACUGGCUUGCUUUUAAAUUGUUGGUGUUUAUACAUCUUUCCUCUUACAGGAAGUAAGGUUUAGUGCAGGAACAGAAUACUAAGUUUGCCUCACUGGGACUACAGCAGAAGGUGCCAGCCAGCGGUUAAGUUUGUAAGUGGAAUGAAACUGCCCAGAUGGAAACCCUCCUCCCCAUCAGAGACCACUGAAUUUACCUUCUCACUCCUGCAGUUAGACUCACCAGGAACAGCAAACGCCAACCGGAACUGUCACUGCAGGGGCUGCUGCAGCCUGCCUCAGCCAUCAGUAUGAAGCUGAGUGUCUCAUAUUAAGGUUUCAGUUCAGGUAGCAGUACUGUUGUCACUCAAAGGAAGCAGAUAUGGAGGGAGUUUGGGAGAGGGUGGGAUGUUGGGAAAAGAGAGGGUAAGAAUGAGGGUCAUAGCUUAGGGGUUUCGGUGAGCCCCAUUUCCAGAUCAGAUCUGUAGCAUGUGCUGUUGACCUCUUUUGAGAUGAACUCUCCCAUAGGACCUGCCAGAUAGCGCUGAGACAUGGAAGAAAUUCAGACAAAAUGGCUCACCCUGAUAAAGAAGGGGGAGUGACUAUAUUUUAAAUUAAACUUGCUUUUUCCAACACUGUGAGGUUUCUGUAAUACUUAGCUUUUAUUUGGAAGCGAUAGCGUAUGGCAUUUUUUAUGCUAUUUGGUUUAUAUGGUCUACUGCAGGCUUCUUUGUACAAGCUUGGCCUGGGCUCGCCCUCUCCUGGACACUGUUUUAAAGUGUUACAGCUGCCCAUGUUGCCAGAGGCUCUGAUAUAAAGCUGUACUCUCUAGAUCCACAUUUUUAAGUUGGCAGGAUUGAUGAUGACUUUUUGCAGCAAUGGAAAAGUUCAUUAACUCAACAAAAACAAAAAACAAAACCCAAGGAGAGUAAAAAAGAAAAUACAAAUUGUGCCUCAUCUGUCUUUGAAUGCUAUAUUUAUUAUUCUAGAAAAAGAGAACUUACAAAUGGAAAAGAACUAAUAGAGCAUCUACUUCAUCCCUCCGGCUGUCCAGGGGGAAAUACUUAAGAAAAAUGAACAUUUAAUGAAAAAUUAAAAGAUCUUCAAAUUUAAUUUUUAAAGAUAGUUUUAUACCAAAUAUUUAUAAGAAUUAUUAAGCAGAUUUAAGGACUUUAUGAAAUAAGCCCUUAACUUAGCUGAGCACCCCUGUAUCAAACUAAUAAAAUUGUUUAAAAUAAGUUGGAAUAGAAACCACUACCAGAGUCCUCACUGAGCUGCAUACUCUCGAAGGUGCCCCUGCAGUCACAGACACCUCAGGUACCCAGAGGCAGCAGCACUAGACGCUGUUGAGAAGUUAGUAUUUAUGGAGAUUUUUAUUAAAGAGUUCCCUGCUGCAUAAGCCAAUGGCUGUUGUGAGGGAAGUGUCCCUUUGCCUUUAAUUUAUUUACAUAUUGGAAGUAGAUGGAUUUCUUAGUUGCAUCUUACUUUAAACUGAAACAUUCUAAAGAGAAGAAGAUAAGAACAAGGUAGACAUUGACUAGAUGCUGCCAAAUCAAACCCAAGAUCUCCUAACUAAACCUUAUGGGGCCUGCUGCUCCCAGACAAGUAGUUAGUGUCCCAUUCCAGGAACCCUUUGUAGUUGGCUGGUGUGUUUACUUUCUGCUGUAGCCAGCCAAGAUGAAUGCACCCUGGCCCUCAAAAAGGAUUUUUACCUCAGUCUAGUUUGACCCUCAUACUUGUGGUUGCCUCUGAGAUAAGCAUCCAUGCUAGUUUAAAAAAAAAAAAAAAAUUAGGAAUGCCCUUAACAGCCAGGAACUGAAGCUCUUAUUAAAUGGUGGGCAGAGCUCUUGCCAGUUUUGAUCCAGCCCCUUCUUGGGCCCUCUGAGGGGGGCAGUGCCACACUGAAAAGAAUUUCCAGAUGUCUCUUAAAAUGUCAUGAAUAAAAUUAGAAACUGUAGAAGUGUUAAUGUGUCCUAUGGACUCAAUAGCAGAGUUUAUUUUUGUUUUUAAUGGCAAGGCUUCUAGAGUCAAUGAUUGUAUGAGUUCCCUACUCUGGCUAUGCUUAUAGCUCCAUCCAAGUGCAAGAACUGAUGAAGUGAAUUGGCUGGCAGUGGGGCAUAAGCCUGAGAGAGGUUGACAGUAGUACAGAAUGAAAACUUGCUUGGGUUGUGGGGGUGGGAUGUGGGUGGGCAGGCAGGGAGGGGGAGAUGGGAGUUUGUUUUACUUAUUGAUAAAGCUUUGUGAACUAAUUUUAUACAAUUCAUAACAUUUGGUGCCUUGUACCCAGUUAUGGUUUGCAUGGGAUUGAAAAGAUUAAGGGAAAAGAUGCCUCCUUGUCAUUUUGGGUGACAAAUGGGUCUGUACAGUGUAAAGGACAUUUGAUAUAAGACUUUUAAAAAGCAUUUCAUCUCAUGUGUGAAAGAUAAUUAUUCUUACCAGCAGGUUCUGAAAUUUUACUGUGUAAUGUCCAAAAUCUUUGGAUUUGUGACUAUUCAUCAAAUGGCUGCUUUUCAAGGCAGACUGUAUACCCCGUUCUGUCUCAGCACCUCUUUUACGUUCCAAACAUUAACUUGGGCCUUUUCGGGUAGGCUGGGAGUGCUACUUCUUCCCAAACAUAUACUAUACCCUUGUCGGGUUAUAUAUUAUGAGUGGAAGAGUUGUUUUUCCAGCUGGUUGGGAGAGCACAAAUGUUCAGAAAGGGCCUUUUUUUCCUAAUGCUGGACAACUUAGGAUAGAAGUCGAACAAAAAUGGUUCCUCCUGAAGGAUUACCUUCCUUAGUUCUGAAGUUCUUUUGCACAAAAUUUCAGGAAGCAGUGUAGAACACAAUCCCCAAUAUGUGAACCUUUAGAUUAUAAGGCAAGCCAGUGCACUGUGUAAUAUGUAAAAGAGAAGGCUCAAAGAACCUACCCCAGCCCUCCAGCCUCUUCCCCUGGCAGGUGCUGACUGGGAUGAUGCUGAGUGGCUGAGGAAGGGGAGAAGACCCAGUCUGCUCACCUGCAGGGCUGUUUAUAGCCUGUUCCUUUUACUCUGAUCUUAAGGUUUCCAUUGAGCUUGUGAGACUUCACCAAAGGGUGUUUAAAAAGCUCACCACUUGAAGCACAUUUGAAAAUUGGUUCUUUCGGCCUAAUUACUGCCCUAAUUAAUUGGGUGAGGUUGUACUUUUGGAGCAAAAUCUCCCAUGGUAACUUAGUUUUUUACUGGGUAAGUAUGCAUCUCCCUGGUGGUUCAGAUUCUUUUUAAAAUCAGCACUAAAGCUGAAAGCACCUUCUGACUGUGAGUUUAGUUUAGAUCUUUCACAUUUAACCAUUGUCUUGGUCUAGGGCUUCAACUGACCAGUGUUUAUUCUUUCAACCCACACAUUGCUCUAAAUACACUAUAGCUAGCCACUCCAGCAUUGAUCAAAUGGUCAUUCUUGUGGACUCUUCCCAUACUUAUUUCUGCUGGCACGUUUCCAUUUAAAAUCUAACCACGUAAUCUGAGAUUUUUGUAGUGCUAUGUUAAUCAGCCAGGGCUAAAAAUCAUAUGACAAAUGUGAAACCGACUUUGCUUGGGAAGAAUGUUGUGUUGGAAUGGUGAAGGCCAGCAUUUCAAUUUAUGGAAUUCAUAACUGUUCAUCAGAAUUUGGGAAAAUUGUAGAUUUGAUAGCUUUACUUGCUAAAUUCUUAACACUGAGGAAUUAAGCCAGUUUAAAUGAAACUUUACCUUGCCAGUAUUACGGCUUUAUAAACCCACUAACAGUAAAUUCUAUUCCUUGAAGCUAAAACGUAAAAUUUUGAGUGAAAUACAAAUUAUGCUUUGGAAGCUGCCAUGUCUUAAUUUGCUGGAUUUUUAUUUUCAAUCUUAAAAAACUUUGUAAAAUAGAACUCUUCACAGUUAUGAGUAGAUCAGGCCGCAGACCAAGGAUCUGUUUCAUGCCUAUGAAGAACAGGAGAUGCUUGUAUUAUCUUAGCAGUGGUCUGAUGCAGAUCUGAAGGGGCUUAGAAUUUAUGCUGUGGCUUAAGUUUCCUUUCUGGUCACCAUGGGGGAGGGUUCAAACCCAAGCUUUGCUCUCAUGCGUGUGACCAUUUCUCAUCCUAACACCUAGUAAGAUGGGUGUUAAGACCUGUCAAGUCGUCUGUGGUCCUAGCGUAGAAUCUUUCAGGGUCUUGGCUUCUUGGUAAGCAAGCCAUCCACAGGCCUGAAUUCACACAUGCUCAACCUCCUCCCCAACAGAUGGAGCCUACCUGACGACUGUAAGAGAACAGGACUUUGUAAAACAUACACAAUCUGAUUCUCAAGAUUUCUUAACGAGAUUUAUGCCGGUUAGGCCACUGUGGUGCAUUCAUACUGACCCCUCCAUCCUUUCCAGUUCAUACCCUUUAAUCCCAUAUCCCUUCCAUAGGAAACUUGACGUGGAAAAGCAGGAUUUUAAAAAAUACCUAAUAGAUGGGCUCCUGGCUAGCUGUCAGAGCAUGCAACUCUUGAUCUCAGGGUCAUGAGUUGGAGCCCCAUGUUGGGUGUAGAAAGACUCAAUAAAUAAACUUUUAAAAAAUAAAUGCCUAGAAUAAAACAACCAGAACAAAAUUGCCUAGGGGGAAAACUGUCUCUCUCCACAUCUUUCUGAGCCUACAUGAGUCUUUUCCACUGCCAGUUCCUUACAUAUUCCAUUUCCAAAGAACUCCCAACUCUUGGGACAGUGGCACUACCGUGAGUUUCAGGUCAGAGAACAUCUAUUUCCUCGUGAAGGAAACAGCUUCCUCAAGCAGUGUCACUUAGUACCCGCUGCCCAGGCUGACUCACCUUGCCUCCACCUGCGUAUCACUGCCCUCUUUCUCCCAAGAGAUCCCACUCGAUUAUAGCAACAAUGCCCCCCUGGUGCCUGGAAAACCCACCUGGUGCAGUAAAAUGCUAUGCAACACCAAAUGGCUUCUUCCCCUACUUCUGCUCAACAGUGGAAAUUCCUCAAAAAUCACGUUUCACCUUAUGUUGGCAUCAGUGUACAGUGGCUACGGUUUUUUCUUUUUUUUUUUUCCUUUUAAUAUGAAGCAAACCAUCUCUGUUACAAUUCAUGUUUGGGGCUCGUUCAUGUCUCUUGAGUGUGAAAUAAAAAUCAUGUUUUUAUGAUUUUUGUAAAUCUUGACUUUUUACACCUUGUUUUUGUAAGCUGAAGUUUCUUAUUAAAAGAAUAAAAUGA